UACAGAGGUGGCAAGCGUUGUUCGGAUUUAUUGGGCGUAAAGGGUCCGUAGGCGGUUUGGCAAGUCAGAUGUGAAAGCCCACAGCUCAACUGUGGAACUGCAUUUGAAACUUCCAGACUAGAGUAUGAGAGGGGUUAAGGGAAUUCCCGGUGUAAGGGUGAAAUCUGCAGAGAUCGGGAGGAACACCAGUCGCGAAGGCGGCCUGCUGGGCCACGACCGACACUGAGGUGCGAAAGCGUGGGGAGCGAACCGG
rnacentral:rRNA from 1 species